rnacentral:rRNA from 1 species
ACCUCAUAAAGUAUGUCGUAGUCCGGAUUGGAGUCUGCAACUCGACUCCAUGAAGUCGGAAUCGCUAGUAAUCGUAGAUCAGAAUGCUACGGUGAAUACGUUCCCGGGCCUUGUACACACCGCCCGUCACACCAUGGGAGUGGGUUGCAAAAGAAGUAGGUAGCUUAACCUUCGGGAGGGCGCUUACCACUUUGUGAUUCAUGACUGGGGUGAAGUCGUAACAAGGUAACCGUAGGGGAACCUGCGGUUGGAUCACCUCCUUA